rnacentral:rRNA from 1 species
GACGAACGCUGGCGGCGUGCUUAACACACGCAAGUCGAACGGAAAGGCCCUGCUUUUGUGGGGUGCUCGAGUGGCGAACGGGUGAGUAACACGUGAGUAACCUGCCCUUGACUUUGGGAUAACUUCAGGAAACUGGGGCUAAUACCGGAUAGGAGCUCCUGCUGCAUGGUGGGGGUUGGAAAGUUUCGGCGGUUGGGGAUGGACUCGCGGCUUAUCAGCUUGUUGGUGGGGUAGUGGCUUACCAAGGCUUUGACGGGUAGCCGGCCCGAGAGGGUGACCGGCCACAUUGGGACUGAGAUACGGCCCAGACUCCUACGGGAGGCAGCAGUGGGGAAUAUUGCACAAUGGGCGGAAGCCUGAUGCAGCAACGCCGCGUGCGGGAUGACGGCCUUCGGGUUGUAAACCGCUUUCGCCUGUGACGAAGCGUGAGUGACGGUAAUGGGUAAAGAAGCACCGGCUAACUACGUG